AGCUCAUUUUUUGCUGUUUUUUUGAAACAUCUUGCUUCCAAACUGUUUCUCACUCCUUCUACUACUAAUUUCGACCAACCUUGGCUAGGUAUUUGAGAUAAAAACACAUUAUAUUAUGAAUUUUCUUGAAUCAAAGCUCGGUGGGCCAUUUUUCAGAAAUUCGUCAAAAAUAAGUAUUUAUACUUUUUUUAAUAUGUUUUGCUGUUUUAAUCAUAUCAUAUGAUGUGUUAAUCAUAGUAGAACAUGUUAACGUGCAUUUUACAGAUUUGGGGUGCCAUUUAAUAAUUUUUUAAUAUUUUUUUCUAUUUACGCAUGAAUUUUGACCCCUUUUUUAAAAUUCGAAAAAUCAAUUUUUAAUGGUUGUUUUGCUGUUUUAAUCAUGCCAUUUGAUGUGUUAAUCAUAUAAAACAUGUUAAUGUGCAUUUUACAGAUUUGGGGUACCAUUUUAUAUUUUUUUCUAUUUACGCAUUUAUUUUGGCCCU